rnacentral:rRNA from 1 species
AGCAGCCGCGGUAAUUCCAGCUCCAAUAGCGUAUAUUAAAGUUGUUGCAGUUAAAAAGCUCGUAGUUGAAUUUCGGGAUCAAGUCGUCGGUCGUGCUCAGGUACGUACUGGCGUCAUUGAUUUCUCCCUUCUGACGAACCAUGAUGUCAUUAACUUGGUGUCAUGGGAAAUCAGGACUGUUACUUUGAAAAAUUAGAGUGUUUAAAGCAGGCUCACGCUUGAAUACAUUAGCAUGGAAUAAUGAAAUAGGACGUUCGAUCCUAUUUUGUUGGUUUUAGGAUCAACGUAAUGAUUAAUAGGGAUAGUUGGGGGCAUUAGUAUUCAAUUGUCAGAGGUGAAAUUCUUGGAUUUAUUGAAGACUAACUACUGCGAAAGCAUUUGCCAAGGACGUUUUCAUUAAUCAAGAACGAAAGUUAGGGGAUCGAAGACGAUCAGAUACCGUCGUAGUCUUAACCAUAAACUAUGCCGACUAGGGAUCGGAUGAUGUUAAUUUUUAAUGACUCAUUCGGCGCCUUAAC